GACGAACGCUGGCGGCGUGCUUAACACAUGCAAGUCGAACGCUGAAGCUUGGUGCUUGCACUGGGUGGAUGAGUGGCGAACGGGUGAGUAAUACGUGAGUAACCUGCCCUUGACUCUGGGAUAAGCCUGGGAAACUGGGUCUAAUACUGGAUACGACAUGCCACUGCAUGGUGGUGUGUGGAAAGGGUUUUACUGGUUUUGGAUGGGCUCACGGCCUAUCAGCUUGUUGGUGGGGUAAUGGCCUACCAAGGCGACGACGGGUAGCCGGCCUGAGAGGGUGACCGGCCACACUGGGCCUGAGACACGGCCCAGACUCCUACGGGAGGCAGCAGUGGGGAAUAUUGCACAAUGGGCGGAAGCCUGAUGCAGCGACGCCGCGUGAGGGAUGACGGCCUUCGGGUUGUAAACCUCUUUCAGCACGGAAGAAGCGAGAGUGACGGUACGUGCAGAAGAAGCGCCGGCUAACUACGUG
rnacentral:rRNA from 1 species